GGUUAUACAGUAUUUUUCUAUGUCUGUCCUAUUUCACUUAGCAUAAUGCCCUCCGCAUUUAUCCGUAUUGUCACAAAUGGCAAUACCUUCUUUUUAAAGACAGAAUAAUACUCCAUUGUGCAUGUGUGUGUGUGUGUGUCUGUGCAUAUAUAUAUCCAUAUACAUAUAUAUAUAUAUCCAUUAUUGUGUUCAUAACUAUGUGUUGCUCUCUCAAGGCACUGGUCUUGUUAAGCAUAGGGAAAAAACAAGAUUAAUUGUGUUUACAAUAAAAUACAUGAAUAAAUAAAUAAAAUAUUUGAAAGUUUUUGUGCCUAUGCAAUAAUUAUUUAUUAAGCACUUGCUAUGUGCCAGGAACACACAAGGCUAUUUCUUCCUUUCUUGGCAACUGAGCUCUGAACUCACCACAAAGGUCUAUGCCUGAGUAUUAUGCAGGUGACUUUUCUUUCUUAGCCUCUGGUAGGCACCUUGUUUUUGUGUGCAAUUCCAGAAAAUAGGACAGAGCUAUUCCAACUUCCUUCUUUAGGUAUCCACUUAUUCAGGGAUUCUGGUUCAGGCCCUUUGCCAAUAAUAGGACUCCCAACUAGAACAGUGGCCUCUAUCCUUGCUUGGGUGUUGAAACCAUGGCCUUGAUGAUGCUUAUGUGUUUCUUCUUCCCAUGGAUCAUGAGGCUCCAGUCUUUCCCUGUGGCUGUAAGUUCCUUCCAUAUAUUUUUUUUUCUCCUUUUCUUAAGGGUAGAAACUUUAUUUUUGGUCCAUGAAGACAUCUCUUCCUAGCGUUUUAUGUAUGGAUGGAGUUUUAAAUACUCAAUUUAUCAUAUUGUAUUAGUCCAUUUUCACACUGCUAUAAAGAAGUGCCUGAGACUGGGUAAUUUAUAAAGGAAAGGUUUAAUUGACUCACAGUUUAGCAUAGCUGGGGAGGCCUCGGGAAACUUACAAUCAUGGUGGAAGGGGAAGCAAGGCACCUUCUUCACAAGGUGGCAGGAAGGAGAAGUGCCGAGCAAAGGGGGAAGAGCGCCUUAUAAAACUCUCAGAUCUUGUGAGAACUCACUCACUGUCACAAGAACAGCAUGAGGGAACUGCCCCCAUGAUUCAAUUACCUCCAC
rnacentral:lncRNA from 10 species